GACGAACGCUGGCGGCGUGCUUAACACAUGCAAGUCGAGCGGUAAGGCCCUUUCGGGGGUACGACGAGCGGCGAACGGGUGAGUAACACGUGGGUGACCUGCCCUCAGCUCUGGGAUAAGCCUGGGAAACCGGGUCUAAUACUGGAUAUGACUCCAUGACGCAUGUUGUGGGGUGGAAAGCCUUGUGCGGCUGAGGAUGGGCCCGCGGCCUAUCAGCUUGUUGGUGGGGUGAGGCCUACCAAGGCGACGACGGGUAGCCGGCCUGAGAGGGCGACCGGCCACACUGGGACUGAGACACGGCCCAGACUCCUACGGGAGGCAGCAGUGGGGAAUUUUGGACAAUGGGCGCAAGCCUGAUCCAGCCAUGCCGCGUGCGGGAAGAAGGCCU
rnacentral:rRNA from 1 species